GACGAACGCUGGCGGCGUGCUUAACACAUGCAAGUCGAACGGAAAGGCCCGGCUUUUGUGGGUUUCUCGAUUGGCGAACGCGUGAGUAACACGUGAGUAACCUGCCCUUGUCUUUGGGAUAACUUCAGGAAACUGGGGCUAUUACCGCAUAUAAUCUCUUGCUGCGCGUGGUUGGUUGGAAAAUUUCGGCUUUUGGGGAUGGUCUCGAGGCUUAUCAGCUUGUUGGUGGGGUAGUGGCUGACCAAGGCUUUGACGGGUAGCCGGCCUGAGCGGGUGACCGGCCACAUUGGGACUGAGAGACGGCCCAGACUGCUACGGGAGGCAGCAGUGGGGAAUCUUGCACAAUGGGCGGAAGCCUGAUGCAGCAGCGCCGCGUGCGGGAUGACGGCCUUCGGGUUGUAAACAGAUUUCGCCUGUGACGAAGAGUGAGUGACGGUAAUGGGUCAAGAAGCAACGGCUAACUACGUG
rnacentral:rRNA from 1 species